rnacentral:lncRNA from 15 species
CAAUUAAUGGGAAUCAGAGUGACAAAUUGGGACUGAUGUUAAAUUGGGGUAGAGCAGGGACUUAGGGUUAGCUUAGCAUAGCUUAACAUGGGUGGGAGGACCAGACAUAUGUCCAAGGAGGCGCUGGCUAAGUUAGGUGAGAACUAGGAGCUGGGACCCACCGAAGUGGAUCCCAACAGUGCACGGGCCAUCAUCAGGGACGUCCAGUCCUCCGUCGCCAUCUUCCAGGUGGCGCUGGCCGCGACGUUUCGUCCGCUUCUUGGGACUUCCUCAGGCUUAAGGCCACAGCAUGCAGGAUUUCAUGGACUUCGUGGAGCUCCCUCAACACGGAAUAAGGUAAGGCUAGGGUUUUGAGGCUGGGAUUUUGGGGUUGGGACUUAAUUAGGGUUGUAGGACCUUAGGUUUAGGGCCACAAAAUGGGCUAGGGGAUAGGCCAAUUAAUGGGAAUCAGAGUGACAAAUUGGGACUGAUGUUAAAUUGGGGUAGAGCAGGGACUUAGGGUUAGCUUAGCAUAGCUUAACAUGGGUGGGAGGACCAGACAUAUGUCCAAGGAGGCGCUGGCUAAGUUAGGUGAGAACUAGGAGCUGGGACCCACCGAAGUGGAUCCCAACAGUGCACGGGCCAUCAUCAGGGACGUCCAGUCCUCCGUCGCCAUCUUCCAGGUAUGGGUUUGUAUAAUCUACUAUUUAGAUCAUGUUAGACAGGUUCGCCUUUGUUAUAUGAAGUAUAAUGGUU